UCGAAGGGGGGCGGGGCCCGCGAGUCACCGGUGCCGCCCCCGGGCCCGGCGCCGUCGGGGCGGGCUGCCUUAGUGGUGUUCGUGCCCCCUGCAACAGUCUUCGGCCCUUAGAUUUGCUUUUUUUGCUUGUGGUUAUUGCGAAAUAAUUACUGUCUCCAAUAAGAUCUUGUCCUCAUUAGCUCCGCUGUGAGUUCAGUCAAAUAGCCCAGAGGCCGUGGAGCGGCCUCGCUCACACCGUAAUAACGGGGGAACAGCUUGGCUUGCAGCUUUGCCUUAUUACCUGAUUACGCAAGAAGAAGGAUCGCACUGAACACAAAUUGAAUUUGCAUCUUGGCUCUGGUCUGCGCCGUAACCACUGCCCAGCAAUGAGCAGGAGUAGGAAAUUUAGUGGAAUAAUGUUUUGCUGAUAUUUGAAGCAGUUGGAUUUUACCAAAACCAAUGCAGUUGCCUGUCUGCAAAUAAAAGAAUUAGCAUUCUUUGUCUUUUAUCCACUUUGAUCAAUUUUUAAGGAGACACUUCUUCUUUCCUGUUGGCUUGGAUUAGCAGAAACUCCUUCACUCUUGGGGCAAAGAAGGCUCUACCUUAUCAUUCGACACUGAGCUUCCAGUUCUAACAGUGCACCACGGUUGGAUAUGAAGGAUGAGAAGCCAAAUGACAAUACAGGCCUGUGCAGAACAUUCCUUAUGGCUGACAAGCCAUCAUCAAAGCCCACCUCUGGGAGCUUGCCAAGAAAUGAUCCAAACAUUGCUGUGUGAUUGCAUCCACUGCUGCCAGAAUCUGCAGCUGAAUCAAACUUUUUGUAUCUGCUGACAGGCCUAAAAGAAUCCAUGCUGACACUAGAGCACAUCUAUUAACCUCUUCCUAGGUCAAUUAAA